UCGGUGAGAUUUUUCCAGUUUUUCCAUAGUUUAGAUUUGUUUUACCUGUAGUCCAGAAAAAGCCAAUAAAAAAAGGUAGAGAUUAGUUACCUUCGUCCCCAAAACCAAUCUGAGCCUUGCAAUUUUCACAUUAUUAUUUGCAUUGUUGAAUUUUUGCUGCAUUAAUCGUAUCGAGUUGCUGGAUUAGAUUGGAUCGUUUUUCAGACUUUUCCUACUAGAUCGAACUUGCUUUUGGUUUUCUUGUUAUUCGUGUGACGCAGGUUUCCUUCAUCAAUCUUCCACCUCCAAUCUCCCUGCCACACCACCACCACGCCUACAAUCCUUCGCUGCCACCAUCAUAAAAAAAUUUCGCAUUGCAGUUGCCAUCCGCGCCGAUUUCGAGUCCGAGUCCAAUCGGGAAAUUUUUUGGAAAGUGUUUUGGAAUAAGGAAAGAGAUCGAUUUUUGUUUGGAGAUAAAGUUGUUUGAAAGUUGUGAAGAAGGAAAGAAAAGAAAAGAAAUAAAAAAAACGAAAAAAAAGAGAGAAAAAAGAAUCAGUUUCGGAUCCACGUUGAGAAGAAUUCUAGUUCCGAGUCGGUUUGACCUGUGUUCAGUAAAACGGGCAUAUAUAUUGUAUACCAACUCGGAUUUGGACGUUCUAGUACUUUUUGGAAAGCGUGCAACAAGGCGCACGCAGAAAUAUCCAGGGCAUCGGCCUGCUCUUUGACCCUCAAAUUCGGUUUGUAAGGUGCACUUUCAGAGCUUCCAAGUUUCUGGAUCCAGUUUCCGGCAUCGCUGCAGCCCGGUGUUUUUUCGUUAUCUCCACAGUCCGGCCUCCGAUUUGAGUGAUCUUGCACUUGCUGUAAAGCUUGUUUCGAUAUGCUCCUAACCCAUAUUUUUUCAUAUUUUUCUGAAUUUUCCUUACUGCAGCCUUUGCUGUUCUUUGACAGACCGACGUACAGUUUUCUGGUCCUUCUUUUGCGUGAGUUUCUGGGGUUAAAAAAAAGAAAAAAGAAGAAGAAAAGAAUAAGAAGCCAAACAAAGGCCACAAAAAGAAAAAAAAUACAAGGGUUUUACUUGUUAUGCCAUUUUUUGAUCUCUCUAUUCCUACCUUCUUCAGUAUGUAGGCUUAGAUUAUUUCUGUAAUUCGUUCUUAUCGACUUCAGCAGUUAGGACUAGCAUUAUUGAGCAUAUUUUGAACUUUGCAUUGCUGAUUUGAGUAUUUGCUAUUCCUUGCUACUCACAAAAGCCUCCAAGCUACACAGAUUCUACACCU
rnacentral:lncRNA from 1 species